ensembl:lncRNA
GUCAGCCCGUCCCGUCCCGUUUCGCUUCGGAGCUUCGGAGUCUCACGCUGGUUUGUUUUUGAUGGGGGGAGAUGAGCGUGAAGCGUCCGUCCGGAUUAUUCUGAGGGAUCAAACAAGCGCUUUGUCACCAGCGCGAUGUGACAGCCACAUGUCGCCGAUCAACCAGGAUCCAAUAGCCGCUUACGGAGGUCGCUGUCACGGCCGUUUGGCAUGGCGAGGCAGGUGAACUGCGAUGAUGACAAAACUUGACGAGGAAGAAGGGAGCAGUCGCACGACAUCACGAAACAGGGGUUUAAUUUGUGAUGAACAGGAC